GAUGAACGCUGGCGGCGUGCCUAAUACAUGCAAGUCGAGCGAACAGACGAGGAGCUUGCUCCUCUGACGUUAGCGGCGGACGGGUGAGUAACACGUGGAUAACCUACCUAUAAGACUGGGAUAACUUCGGGAAACCGGAGCUAAUACCGGAUAAUAUAUUGAACCGCAUGGUUCAAUAGUGAAAGACGGUUUUGCUGUCACUUAUAGAUGGAUCCGCGCCGCAUUAGCUAGUUGGUAAGGUAACGGCUUACCAAGGCGACGAUGCGUAGCCGACCUGAGAGGGUGAUCGGCCACACUGGAACUGAGACACGGUCCAGAGUCCUACGGGAGGCAGCAGUAGGGAAUCUUCCGGAAUGAGCGAAAGCCUGACGGAGCAACGCCGCGUGAGUGAUGAAGGUCUUCGGAUCGUAAAACUCUGUUAUUAGGGAAGAACAAAUGUGUAAGUAACUAUGCACGUCUUGACGGUACCUAAUCAGAAAGCCACGGCUAACUACGUG
rnacentral:rRNA from 1 species